UACAGAGGUCCCAAGCGUUGUUCGGAUUCACUGGGCGUAAAGGGUGCGUAGGUGGUGAGGUAAGUCGGAUGUGAAAUCUCCGAGCUCAACUCGGAAAUGGCAUUGGAAACUACCUUGCUCGAGGGUUGGAGGGGGGACUGGAAUGCUUGGUGUAGCAGUGAAAUGCGUAGAUAUCAAGCGGAACACCAGUGGCGAAGGCGAGUCCCUGGACAACUCCUGACACUGAGGCACGAAAGCUAGGGGAGCAAGCAGG
rnacentral:rRNA from 1 species